UCUAUCUAUCCAUCUAUCCAUCUAUCUAUAUAUCUAUCUAAUCUAACUAUCGAAUGUAAUAAAAACAUUUAGUCAAUCUUUUCGUAGUCAGGUGUGAUCACAUUUUGGGAUAUUCUUGCAAGAUCCUCUCCGUUUCAUUAAUGCACCCAUACUUAGAAUUAUGCAAAGUCCAUUUGUCCUAGAUCCGGUUUGGAAUACGUUCCGAGUAAAACUAGCAAGAGAAGCCAAACAACCUGUGCACCGAUCUUUAUCUGAACCUCCGUGACGUGGACAGGAGGGAGUAUCGGUUGGGGGCGCUGACAUCAACAAUUUCUCGAAAUAUUCUGGAUCACAGAAAAACUGGACCAUUGCCGCAUUGGUGGAGAGCGAGCAGCGCGGCCGAUGUAUACAAAAACACGCGGUAACUUUACAAACAUAACAAGUUUAAUAAUAACCACCAAAUAUUACCGCUUGUUUAUUUUAUUGCCGUGUUGAUAGCAUCCAUGCAAAUAAAGACAAUUAUUUUGGCUUCGGGAUAUCUCCGUUCAGUCUUUAAAUUUGCAAACGUUUGAUUCAUAACCGUGCCAGUGAGGGGUUAACAGGCGAGAAUUGGCAUGAGACGCCAGGGGCGACACUCAGAUGUCGCCUAAUGGAUGCCUGGGUACGGGAGAGGCACAUCCUCGCCGGUUCCUCCCCGUUGCAACCUGAGCAGCCAGUUUCCUGAAUAAUUGAGGGGACACGCAUUGCCAAAAUUACAAGGAUGAGAUAACUUCAUACAAAAGACGCGUUGAUAGUCACACCUACUAGGAACAGUAAACUCAUUCCGGCCAAUGACUCUACUCAUCCCGAAUAGUUGACGGGAGAAAUCAGACAUUUUUACAAGUCCACUCAAUGGUAUUCACAAGCGAAAUUACUUAUAGGAUUCGCUGAGAUAAAUUAUUAACUUAUGUUUCUAAUUUAUUAUAUUCUAAUUAUACAUUUUUUGAAAUCUAGUAGUCAACAAAAAGAGUAUCUGUAAAUGUUAUUACAUUUCGCUGAGAUUAGUCUAAUGAUUAUGGCCAUUGUCCAAAACGGACGGUCGUUUCUUUAACGCCAGUGUUCUCCGCUGACAUUUCUGAUUUAUGGCAAAUUUAAAAUGUUAUAGCUAAUUUUACGUGGUCUCUGAGAUAGGUUUCUAUCAAAGGUUACCGUGGCGCCAAUGUUGAUAAGGUCCAUUAAUAUUUUCCAAGCAGUUGAAAUUGUUUAGGAAAGAGAAAGCAUGUUUUGCAUGGAUAAUAUUACAACUGUGGUCUCUUCAAUGCUGGAGAACUCUACGACUGCCAUUUGGAGUUGGAAAAUAAAAUAUGCUUUUUUAAGUCAAAAGUUAAUUUUAAAUCAUCCCUUUAAGUGUGUUCGAACACCAUGGCACCUUUGAUAGCGACAGACACUUGUCAGCAGUGAUCUCCACUUUAAUAUAACGGGCGCCCAGGAAUGAUGAUAAUGGUCUUAGAAGGAAGAAGCUUGCAGCAAGGUUCGAGACGAGAUGGUCGCUACGAGCAUAGAACAAUUGAUUGAUUAACUAAACAACGUCUCCUGGUUGUUUGCCGGGGCAGUGGAGGGAGGGGGAAAAGUUACGCGCAGAUAACGAGUGAAUGAGUGCGUGAAAAAACAUCGAGAUAAGAUAAUGUGAGUCAUUCGAAAAUAUAAUCUGUCAGGGAAUGUCCGCAAGAAAAUACCAAGAUUUAGCAAUCGACUGUACCUUUUAUCAUCGGAAUUCAAAGCAGACAGACGUACGCGAAAAACGCCGUGGUAUCUAUGAUACAAAUAGAUUAUUACAUAAUUGUGACAGAUUUUUUUUCCUAUAUUGAUUAAUGGAGAUUAUUAUAUACAUAUAUUGAUUAAUAUCAAUUAAUUGGUACAUGACAUUUAUUGGUUGAAAUAUACUUCGAUUAAUAAAUAUUAUUUUAUGUAAAAUAUAUUUAUACAUAUAUGUACAUGCUAAAACAUCUUUAUGUUCAUAAGCAUUAUGAAUACUUACAUCUGAAAUAAAAAAGAGCUGGAAAA